rnacentral:rRNA from 1 species
UACGAAGGGGGGCUAGCGUUGCUCGGAUUUACUGGGCGUAAAGGGCGCGUAGGCGGCCUGCUAAGUCGAACGUGAAAUCCCCCGGGCUCAACCCGGGAACUGCGUCCGAUACUGGUAGGCUUGAAUUCGGGAGAGGGAUGCGGAAUUCCAGGUGUAGCGGUGAAAUGCGUAGAUAUCUGGAGGAACACCGGCGGCGAAGGCGGCAUCCUGGACCGACAUUGACGCUGAGGCGCGAAAGCCAGGGGAGCAAAGCGGG